rnacentral:rRNA from 1 species
AUUGAACGCUGGCGGCAUGCUUUACACAUGCAAGUCGAACGGUAACAGGCCGCAAGGUGCUGACGAGUGGCGAACGGGUGCGUAAUGCAUCGGAACGUGCCCAGUCGUGGGGGAUAACUACUCGAAAGAGUAGCUAAUACCGCAUACGAUCUAUGGAUGAAAGCGGGGGACCGUAAGGCCUCGCGCGAUUGGAGCGGCCGAUGUCAGAUUAGGUAGUUGGUGGGGUAAAGGCUCACCAAGCCAACGAUCUGUAGCUGGUCUGAGAGGACGACCAGCCACACUGGGACUGAGACACGGCCCAGACUCCUACGGGAGGCAGCAGUGGGGAAUUUUGGACAAUGGGCGCAAGCCUGAUCCAGCAAUGCCGCGUGCAGGAAGAAGGCCUUCGGGUUGUAAACUGCUUUUGUACGGAACGAAACGGCUCUGGUUAAUACUCGGGGCUAAUGACGGUACCGUAAGAAUAAGCACCGGCUAACUACGUG